rnacentral:rRNA from 1 species
AUACGUAGGGGGCGAGCGUUGUCCGGAAUGACUGGGCGUAAAGGGCGCGUAGACGGUUUUUUUAAGUCUGGAGUGAAAGUCCUGCUUUCAAGGUGGGAAUUGCUUUGGAGACUGGAAGGCUUGAGUGCGGAAGAGGUAAGUGGAAUUCCCAGCGUAGCGGUGAAAUGCGUAGAGAUUGGGAAGAACACCAGUGGCGAAGGCGACUUACUGGGCCGUAACUGACGUUGAUGCGCGAAAGCGUGGGGAGC